rnacentral:piRNA from 1 species
UGGGGUUGCUUCACUCUGGAUUUUAUCCCGU